GGUCAGUGGCCGCUUCCCCAAACCCUCAGGGCUGCCUGACCUCAAGACCCUGGGGCCUCCAGUGGACAGAAGAGGCCCAAGCAAGUCUGUGGCGUACGCACGGCAGCUGUUCUUCCUCAGUUGCCCCCAUAGCACGGCCACCGAGACGCUG